GCAAACAAAGACUAAGUUUUGGGGAGUUGAUAAGUGUGCAUUUUGCCUGUUUUGAGCAUCCAUUUGUCAUCACUUUAGCAUCAUAUCAUCACUGUUUUAUAUCAUUUGUCAUCAUUUGUCAUCACUUUGCAUGUUUAGGAUAGUUUUGCAUGCAUGUUGCAUAUUUGUGUUGUUUUCAGGUGAUUUGGAGCUGUUGACGAGCUAAUUCAAAAAAGCGGACCUGAUCAUGUCAAACCACUCGACCCCCUGGUCGAGUAGACGCUUCACGACCUCAACCGACCACUCGACCCCCCUGGUCGAGUAGAAGACUUGACCACUCGACCACCUG
rnacentral:sRNA from 1 species